rnacentral:rRNA from 1 species
AUUGAACGCUGGCGGCAUGCCUUACACAUGCAAGUCGAACGGAUCAGAAGGGCUUGCUCUUCUGGUUAGUGGCGAACGGGUGAGUAAUGCAUCGGAACGUACCCAGUCGUGGGGGAUAACGUAGCGAAAGUUACGCUAAUACCGCAUACGAUCUGAGGAUGAAAGCGGGGGACCUUCGGGCCUCGCGCGAUUGGAGCGGCCGAUGUCGGAUUAGCUAGUUGGUGAGGUAAAGGCUCACCAAGGCGACGAUCCGUAGCUGGUCUGAGAGGACGACCGGCCACACUGGGACUGAGACACGGCCCAGACUCCUACGGGAGGCAGCAGUGGGGAAUUUUGGACAAUGGGCGAAAGCCUGAUCCAGCCAUGCCGCGUGAGUGAAGAAGGCCUUCGGGUUGUAAAGCUCUUUCAGACGGAAAGAAAUCUUCUGGGUGAAUAUCCCGGGAGGAUGACGGUACCGUAAGAAGAAGCACCGGCUAACUACGUGCCAGCAGCCGCAGUAA